rnacentral:lncRNA from 1 species
GUAAGCCAUUUGUGUGACGUGGACGAUUUAGCUGGUACGGGUACGAAUGCCACAAACCGGUUUGGUAGCCGGCCGGAAUUCCCAGGCGCUUUUCUACCUCACCCUGACCGACUUUAAAACUUACGCACUUACGUACCGAUUCUUGGCAGACUCCAUUUUGGUGGCUGGGUCCGCCGGGCCUAAUUUACCGCCCUACCAAAUCCCACCGGACGGAUUCCGCCAGUCGGGCCACCCCUCCGGCCCGGUAGCGGAAUCCAAUCCGUUCCGAGCAGGGAAGAUCCGAUGCUCUUCGGGGUCAGACACGGGGCGCUGUUGUUAUUUGUGGUAGAGUUUGUUAGCUCCAUCGGAUCCCAGGGUAAAAGAAGAGGUCGGCCGGAAACGCUUACCUGGCCGACGGCCGGUCGGACCAGCUACGCGUUUCCGGCCGAAGCCGUUUUAAGUCGGACGCGCUAAUUAAGGGAAACCUUAAGGAAGACGGCCAGAAAAUAUUCCCCGUUAAACACGAGAAAACUCCGUUCCGGUUCUGUCGAUCCGGCCCGAUGUGGCCAGUAGU